GGAAUCCCCAAAAUCCAAAAAAUAUCUGGUUGCUCUGAACAAAUCUGAUCACCAAACACUUUGAGACUGGGAAGCCAAACACAAAUAUCAAGAUCAGAUUCAUUUUAAUAUCGAUUAAAAAUUAAUUUAACUUACUAAAUAAUCAAACACAUUGCCCAGCAGGACAAUGAAAAAAAUGUGUGCUUAAUACCUUCUGUUAAGGUCCGAACACUUUCCUGCAGCUAUUCCUGAUAUACUUGUAACCCUCAUUGCAAUUUUUCACGGAAAUAAUGUUCCCUUGUUUGGCGACAUUCGGCGUGGUUAUAAACUCCACAUAAUGAAUGUAUUUUGUGUGGGUCACUUGCACUUGAGAAAACGCACAAAUUAACAAAAAAGACAAAAAUACAGUUGAAUGCAAAUGCAUGGUUUGUUUGGCGUUUCACGAAAUUAGUGUUGGAAUUGGUCCACCGUGAAGAGGUCGUUUGUAGCGAGGAGAAUCAUUAUCUUUUUUUUUGGAUGCUGAAUGCUGCAAUGUUGCCGUGCUGAUUUCACAAGAAGUUUUUUGAGAAUGUUUCGAGUGUUUGGUGUUAGCUCUAGCUGGUGCUGGUGAUGGGACUGAUUUAAUACAAAGUGCGAUUGAAGAAAAUUCCACUUGGGCAGAGCUUCAUCUGGCUGGACUAGAAAAAGUGUUAAUGCAGGGGAAAUUUGUUACAAACCGUCAACUGUGUACGAUGUUGUGUAAUAAAACGUUCUUGAGCAAAACAAUAACAGUCCGGGAAACCAUUAAAAUGAUAAUGUAAUUUUAUAAUUUCAAAUCUUCAGCAAGAAUGUAGGAAAUUUAGGUGCUGUUGGCACUCAGUCAGCUUUAGAUUUAUUUACAUUGGAAAACACAUGCCAUUUUCUUAGGUCCUUUUCGUGUUUUCGGUGCGUGUGAUGAAACAAAACGAAAAUUAUUCAAAAAAGCUGAUGGUCAACAGAUGCAAAUAUUUUGUCCCAUGCAACUGAAGAACCAAUGCCUGGUUAAAUAAUAGAUGCUGGGACAGCGACUGAAACAUUCAGGCCACACAUUAUCAGAAGCCAACAGGUUAUCGGAGUAAAGUAGUAUCAGAUAACAGUGCUUUAGUACUCUUCAGAGCAAAUUACAAAGUACGAAAAUUGGAUGAUUCAAGGAAAAACGUGGACAGAAUACUGACCUCCGGGUUUAAUUUGAAAAUUGGCUUGCAGACUCCUGGAAACAACUGCAUCGAGCCUCCGGGACAGUUUUGUUUAGCCUUCAAAAUAUUGGCUGGUCACAAAAUCUGCACGCGAUGUUACAACCAAUAACAACACUGACACUAUCCACCAAAUGCUCCUGCCAACCAUGGCAAAGAGAUUUUCGAAAAUCUAGCGAAAUAUUAUCAUCGAUUCAACAGGAAUUCAAGAGCAAUAAUUGGAAACGAUUUUAUGGUUCUAAACUUAGGUAGGCAUUUGAUUAAAUGAUUGCUUAUCAGCUCAGUC